UCUUCUUGCUCUGACCCCUGCUGCUUCCAUUCACAUACAUCUCUGAGCUCACGACAGCCCCAAUUUCAAACGCUGGCCCGUCACCUCUAACAUCCUCUCUCCUGCGUCUGCUUCAGUGAAACGUUCCUUCACGCGUCUGUCUUAGCCUUUCACCUGUGUCAACUUCAGGAAAACGCCCCUUCACGUAUUUGGCCCAGCCAAAUACCAUCCAACAUAACUGACUCUCCAAAGAACCCUUAAGUCUCCAUUUCAUCCCUCAGGUUCCAGGCUCUUUCCUCAGUGGAGAAGGUCCUGAAGGGGCAGGUACCAUGGAGGAACCUGAUGGCCAGCCAGAUCAGCCUCCCUGUAAUCCAGAGAAAGGCCCCUUUAAACGUUCUUAGAAACAGGGCAUCGGAAUACCCAAGAUGCAAUUCACAAAGCACAUGAAACUCAAGAAGAAGGAAGACCAAAGUGUGGA